CCUACGGGUGGCAGCAGUGAGGAAUAUUGGUCAAUGGGCGGGAGCCUGAACCAGCCAAGUCGCGUGAGGGAUGACGGUCCUACGGAUUGUAAACCUCAUUUGCCGGGGAGCAAGCGUGCGUUCGUGAACGCGCGUCGAGAGUACCCGUAGAAAAAGCCUCGGCAAACUCCGGGCCAGCAGCCGCGGUAAUACGGAGGAGGCGAGGGUUAUCCGGUUUUAUUGGGUUAAAGGGGUGCGUAGGCGGGUCGUUAAGUCAGUGGUCAAAUUGAGGGGCUCAACCCCUGCCCGCCAUUGAAACUGGCGCGCUUGAGUGGAAGAGAGGUAUGCGGAAUGCGUGGUGUAGCGGUGAAAUGCAUAGAUAUCACGCAGAACCCCGAUUGCGAAGGCAGCAUGCCGGCUUCCGACUGACGCUGAAGCACGAAAGCGUGGGGAUCGAACAGGAUUAGAUACCCCUGUAGUC
rnacentral:rRNA from 1 species